UGAGGAAUAUUGGUCAAUGGACGCAAGUCUGAACCAGCCAAGUAGCGUACAGGAUGACGGCCCUAUGGGUUGUAAACUGCUUUUAUAUGGGGAUAAAGUGGGGAACGUGUUCCCUUUUGCAGGUACCAUAUGAAUAAGGACCGGCUAAUUCCGUGCCAGCAGCCGCGGUAAUACGGAAGGUUCGGGCGUUAUCCGGAUUUAUUGGGUUUAAAGGGAGCGUAGGCCGUUUGGUAAGCGUGUUGUGAAAUGUAGGAGCUCAACUUCUAGAUUGCAGCGCGAACUGUCAGACUUGAGUGCGCACAACGUAGGCGGAAUUCAUGGUGUAGCGGUGAAAUGCUUAGAUAUCAUGAAGAACUCCGAUUGCGAAGGCAGCUUACGGGAGCGCAACUGACGCUGAAGCUCGAAGGUGCGGGUAUCGAACAGG
rnacentral:rRNA from 1 species